CCUACGGGUGGCAGCAGUAGGGAAUCUUUCACAAUGGGCGAAAGCCUGAUGGAGCAACGCCGCGUGCAGGAUGAAGGCCUUCGGGUUGUAAACUGCUUUUAUAAGCGAGAAAUAUGAUGGUAACUUAUGAAUAAGGAUCGGCUAACUACGUGCCAGCAGCCGCGGUCAUACGUAGGAUCCGGGCAGUAUCCGGGGUGCCUGGGUGUAAAGCGGUGCGUAGGUGGCAUAAUAAGUAGCUAGUGAAAUCUGGUGGCUCAACCAUUCAGACUAUUAGCUAAACUGUUACGCUCGAGACCGCUAGGGGUGACUGGAGUUUCUAGUGUAGGAGUGAAAUCCGUAGAUAUUAGAAGGAACACCAAUAGCGUAGGCAGGUUGCUGGGACGGUUCUGACACUAAGGCACGAAAGCGUAGGGAGCAAACGGGAUUAGAUACCCGAGUAGUC
rnacentral:rRNA from 1 species